rnacentral:rRNA from 1 species
UACAGAGGGGGCUAGCGUUAUUCGGAAUUAUUGGGCGUAAAGGGCGCGUAGGCGGCCAUGCGUGUCUUCCGUGAAAUCCCUCGGCUUAACUGAGGACGUGCGGAAGAAACUGCAAGGCUCGAGUCCGGGAGAGGGGGGUGGAAUUCCCAGUGUAGCGGUGAAAUGCGUAGAUAUCAGGAGGAACACCGGCGGCGAAGGCGGCACUCUGGGCCGGUACUGACGCUGAGGAGCGAAAGCGUGGGUAGCAAACAGG